rnacentral:rRNA from 1 species
GACGAACGCUGGCGGCGUGCUUAACACAUGCAAGUCGAGCGGUAAGGCCCUUUCGGGGGUACACGAGCGGCGAACGGGUGAGUAACACGUGGGUGACCUGCCCUCAGCUCUGGGAUAAGCCUGGGAAACCGGGUCUAAUACCGGAUAUGACUCCAUGACGCAUGUUGUGGGGUGGAAAGCCUUGUGCGGCUGAGGAUGGGCCCGCGGCCUAUCAGCUUGUUGGUGGGGUGAUGGCCUACCAGGGCGACGACGGGUAGCCGGCCUGAGAGGGCGACCGGCCACACUGGGACUGAGACACGGCCCAGACUCCUACGGGAGGCAGCAGUGGGGAAUCUUGCGCAAUGGGCGAAAGCCUGACGCAGCGACGCCGCGUGAGGGAUGACGGCCUCGGUUGUAA